rnacentral:lncRNA from 1 species
GACUUUUAUUUUAAGAACUUUUCCUUUGCAUUCAUAACGGCUGAUUUCAAGCCUAGCUUUUUGCCUAUUUUAGCUUUUUACAUGCCUUGUUCACUAAGCUUAGUCAUUUCUAGCUUCUGAUUUAAAGUGAGAGAUGUGCAAGUCUUCCUUUCACUUGAACAUGUGGAGACCAUUGUAGGAUUAUUAACUGGCCUUAUUUCA